rnacentral:ncRNA from 1 species
UCUCCCCUCUCUUAAAUUACACAUGCAAGUCUCAGCACACCCGUGAGAACGCCCUUAAAACCUCUACCAGGUCAAGGAGCCGACAUCAGGCACCACGCCCAUAACGUCUAGUCUCACCACACCCCCAAGGGUAAUCAGCAGUGAUUAAUAUUAUACAUAAGCGACAGCUUGAUUUACUUAAAGAGAAGCAGGGCCGGCCAACACGGUGCCAGCCGCCGCGGCUAGACCUCAGGGCCCAAGCAGAUAACCAUCGGCGUUGAGCGUGAUUAGAGUCCCCACAAAUUAGGGUUAAAUUAACACUCAGCCGUUAUAAGCUUGUAGUUAAGAAAAACGUAAACGAAAGUUACCCUAAUAACGCUCGAACACACGACAACUGAGGUACAAACUAGGAUUAGAUACCCUACUAUGCUCAGUCGUAAACAAUCAACUCACACCUACACACGCCAGGGAAUUACGAGCAAUGCUUAAAACCCAAAGGACUUGACGGUAUCCUACCCCACUAGAGGAGCCUGUUUUAUAAUCGAUAACCCCCGCUAUACCUCACCAUUUCUAGCCUAUCAGUCUGUAUACCUCCGUCGAAAGCCUACCGUAUGAACGUCUACACAGUAAAGCUCAUAGACUAAAAACGUCAACACGUCAGGUCAAGGUGCAACUCACGAAAUGGGAAAUAAUGGGCUACAAUUUCUAAUUUAGAACAAACGAAAGGCCACAUGAAACUGUGGCCAAGAAGGUGGAUUUAGUAGUAAAAAGAAAAUAGAGUGUUCUUUUUAACCCGGCUCUAGGAUGUGUACAAACCGCCCGUCACCCUCUUCAACAACAUCUGCCCUGAUUUAUAACCUAGUGCCUGUGAUUC